AAAGGGGAAUUGUUGAGGCAGAGCGAAAGGGAGAGAGAAUAAAAACUCUGGUCCAUACACCCAGAAGAAUAAUUUGUUUCUGAUCUCAAACUUGGAAUUCAGUUCAGCUCUGUACACUCUAGUAAGCACCAUUUUGCCUCAGACAUAAGCUGGAAAGGGCAUAUGUUUCAUCAGUUACAUCCAAGUAAUGCUGCUGAGAGCUUCACAAAUGUACAAAGGAGAAAAUAGACCCCAAGAUUUUAGUAUAAGGAUUAAAUAUUCUUCCAUUAAUUGAAUUUCAAUCAGUCUGUCCUAAUUUUGAACCAUUUAAAGUACAUUUUAUGGUUUCAAAUAAUUUUUCUGCUUAGAGAACUCAAAACUAACUGUAAUUUUUUUUAAUAAGUAAUAAUUUGUAGUCAAUUGUUCCCAAAUGGAAAUGAGUUAAUUUUCCCCAUUUGGAAAAUAUGUAAAACUAGAUCAGCUUCCUUCAUUUAUAUAAGCAGAUAUUAUUCUUGCUUUUAAUUUUAAUUCUUUUUUAUAGUACGUAUAGAACUAUUGAAGUUCACUUGAACCUUGAAUGGCCUCUUAACAGGUCAUUUCUGAUAGAGUCUAUCCUAAUGAAUUCAUACAAAUCAGUGCAGUUUACUGUUGCUAAUGCUUUAAAAUGAUCCUAGCAAUAUACUUCCUCUUAAAUGUUUCAUUAGUAGUGUUGUAUCUUCAUGUGUCAGUGGUCAUCAGACAUUAUCUUUGGGCCUUAAGACAUAAGAAAUUCUUACUGAGAGAAUUCAGAGUUUGUAACAAGCUCUGAAAAUUAGAUGAAUUUAGGUAUUUAAUUAAUGAAAUUCAUCACUUCUCAUUUAGCAUUGUGUAGGUUUUUUUAUCUAGUUUUUUUUUUUGUCACUUUUGUGUCAUCACUUAGCAUACAUUUAAAAUGCAUGUGUCUUGCCUCUAAUCAAAAUGUUUAUAUCUGGAACCUACUUUUAGAAAUACUAAUAAACCCCAUAUGUAAGACCAAAACAUCAUUGACAGAAUACACCAAAAGUGUUCCUUUUAUGAGAUUCCUCUAGGUUACUCCUCCAGAUAUUGAAACUUUCAUCAGUACGAAAGGAAGAGGGAAUUGGUUCCUUUGCAUAAUACUUUCAUUGAAGCCCUGUGAUCACUCCUGACUUCAAAGGGCGCCUUUACCACCCAUCUCUCAAAAGCAUUUUGUCUGGCUCCAUAUGGGAAUGAAACCCCUCCUUCAGGGAAACACAGCUGUACAGGAAAGGUGGGAGAACAGCUAGCCCCUUACCCACAGUAAAUGACUGAAACACUGAGAGCUCUUGCCCUGCCUGACCACACAGACAGACAUUCACAUCGAUUUUAUCAUUCAGAGUCAGGGAGAAAGGCAGAAAGAUGCUGGAAAGGAAAACAUCUCCAUGCCUGUUCAUCAUAGCAUCCUGACUAUCAUUUUAUUUGGCUUGAGCCUUUCUGUCGUGUUUACAGAGUAUGAGGAAGACACUCUCCAACUGAGUCCACAGGUUUUGUUAGGGUAUCUGACUGAGCUCUAUGUAAAUGAAAUAAGGAGUUUGAAGGUCCAUCUGAUAUUCUGUUAGAUUAUAAUAUAUGAAAUGAAAAUCCUACAUUUUCAACUUUAUAAACAUUUUAGGGAACCAUCUAUCAAGUGCAAUCUGGAAAAUUGUUUGGCUCAGCAUGUGAGGGCAAUGAGUUCAUCUCAGCAUCAGUGAUUGAAUUGGUAGUUUGGGACUGAUUAGUCUGAGCAAGAACUUAAAUGAAAUAAAUUAUUUGUGACUUUGGGAGAGGUAGCAAUAUCAAUAAUGCAAUUCCCUACAGCAAAAAAAUAAAAGUUAAUGUAGAGGCACUUACUUUACUGGCCUGUAUGAUAGCAAAAGAAAAAAUAAAGUCUACAGUGACUGAUGCAUUUCAAAAUAAACUCCAAAGUAACUAUUUAGGUAUGUGACAUCACAUUAAAAUGAGAUUUCUUGCUCAAGGAGAGAUGACACAAAAGUCUGUUUUACAUUCCAGUCAACAAAUGUUGUGUUUUACAGUGUGGCAAAAGUCGCUUGCCAGAGUUAUUUAUGAAUGCAACAUCCUUGACAAAGGGAUUAAAAUGUGAAUAAGGUAAUGAUAAGGAAGAAGACAUGUUAAUUAAUGGUAUAUCCUCCUCAGAAUAUAUUGCUUAUCUGCAUUAGCAUUAUAAAUAAUUGAGUAACCCCUUGAGGCAAACAUCCAGAGACUGUUUAUAAAAGUAGUACCUUAAAAAAAAAAAAUCUGAAUAAAUGUCUAUAGUAAGGGGAGUGGGAAUGUACGGUUGCAAAGCAAAGGUCAGUAAAACCAAAUAUACUGCAGGGUUCAGUCCUUCUGUUGUACUUUACUAGAUAUUAUACCACUAUUCUGUAGUGAUUGGUUUUGCAAGGAGAUUGAAGUACAGUUGACCUCCUCCUCCUUCCAGCAUUAAAUUUUGAAUUUAAAAUGCUGAAAUGCAGUUGGCUAUUAGAUAAAAUUGCACUGUAAAGGGUAUUAGCUGAAUCAAUGCUUAUUUCU